rnacentral:misc_RNA from 1 species
AAGUCGUAACAAGGUUUCCGUAGGUGAACCUGCGGAAGGAUCAUUACCGAAUUUGAAAGAGGUUGUUGCUGGCCUUCACCGGCAUGUGCACGCCUCGAUCUCAUCCAUCUUACACCUGUGCACCUUUGCGUGGGUCUGUUGGCUUUGCGGCCUUCGGACUUGCGUCUUUUCAUAAACUCUUAUGUAUGUAACAGAAUGUCUAAUGCUAUAAAACGCAUCUUAUACAACUUUCAACAACGGAUCUCUUGGCUCUC